rnacentral:rRNA from 1 species
CAAUAGCGUAUAUUAAAGUUGUUGCGGUUAAAAAGCUCGUAGUUGGAUUUCUGCCGAGGACGACCGGUCCGCCCUCUGGGUGAGUAUCUGGCUCGGCCUGGGCAUCUUCUUGGAGAACGUAUCUGCACUUGACUGUGUGGUGCGGUAUCCAGGACUUUUACUUUGAGGAAAUUAGAGUGUUUCAAGCAGGCAUACGCCUUGAAUACAUUAGCAUGGAAUAAUGGAAUAGGACUGCGGUUCUAUUUUGUUGGUUUCUAGGACCGAAGUAAUGAUUAAUAGGGAUAGUUGGGGCCGUUUAUAUUCCGUUGUCAGAGGUGAAAUUCUUGGAUUUACGGAAGAUAAACUUCUGCGAAAGCAUUCGGCAAGGAUGUUUUCAUUGAUCAAGAACGAAAGUUAGGGGAUCGAAGACGAUUAGAUACCGU